CCUACGGGAGGCAGCAGUGGGGAAUAUUGCGCAAUGGGCGAAAGCCUGACGCAGCGACGCCGCGUGAGGGAUGAAGGUCUUCGGAUCGUAAACCUCUGUCAGCAGGGAAGAACGGUCACUGUGCUAAUCAGCAGUGAAUUGACGGUACCUGCAAAGUAAGCACCGGCUAACUCGGGGCCAGCAGCCGCGGUAAUCCGGAGGGUGCGAGCGUUAAUCGGAAUUACGGGGCGUAAAGCGCUCGUAGGCGGUAUUGCAAGUCAAGGGUGAAAUCCCCGCGCUCAACGUGGGAACUGCCUUUGAAACUGGCAAACUGGAGUGUGUGAGAGGAUAGUGGAAUUCCAGGUGUAGGAGUGAAAUCCGUAGAUAUCUGGAGGAACAUCAGUGGCGAAGGCGACUAUCUGGCACAUAACUGACGCUGAGGAGCGAAAGCGUGGGUAGCAAACAGGAUUAGAUACCCCUGUAGUC
rnacentral:rRNA from 1 species